rnacentral:rRNA from 1 species
CCCAGGGAUGAGCCCGCGUAGGAUUAGCUAGUUGGUUGGGUAAAGGCUGACCAAGGCGACGAUCCUUAGCUGGUCUGAGAGGAUGAUCAGCCACACUGGGACUGAGACACGGCCCAGACUCCUACGGGAGGCAGCAGUAGGGAAUAUUGGACAAUGGGGGCAACCCUGAUCCAGCAAUGCCGCGUGAGUGAUGAAGGCCUUAGGGUUGUAAAGCUCUUUUACCCGGGAUGAUAAUGACAGUACCGGGAGAAUAAGCCVGRGCUAACUCCGUGCCAGCAGCCGCGGUAAUACGGAGGGGGCUAGCGUUGUUCGGAAUUACUGGGCGUAAAGCGCACGUAGGCGGCGAUUUAAGUCAGAGGUGAAAGCCCGGGGCUCAACCCCGGAAUAGCCUUUGAGACUGGAUUGCUUGAACAUCGGAGAGGUGAGUGGAAUUCCGAGUGUAGAGGUGAAAUUCGUAGAUAUUCGGAAGAACACCAGUGGCGAAGGCGGCUCACUGGACGAUUGUUG